CGCGGCACGCGCCGGCGGCGGCCGAGAGUGAGGGUGGCGAGCGCGCGGACGCUGGCGGGCGUGCUGGUUGCCCGCGCUCUUGGGCGCGCCGCGCGCCGGCGCCGCGGGGGCG
rnacentral:misc_RNA from 1 species